GGCUAAACCAUGCACCGAAGCUGCGGCAGCGACACUGUGUGUUGUUGGGUAGGGGAGCGUUCUGUAAGCCUGUGAAGGUGUGUCGUGAGGCAUGCUGGAGGUAUCAGAAGUGCGAAUGCUGACAUAAGUAACGAUAAAGCGGGUGAAAAGCCCGCUCGCCGGAAGACCAAGGGUUCCUGUCCAACGUUAAUCGGGGCAGGGUGAGUCGACCCCUAAGGCGAGGCCGAAAGGCGUAGUCGAUGGGAAACGGGUUAAUAUUCCCGUACUUGGUGUUACUGCGAAGGGGGGACGGAGAAGGCUAUGUUGGCCGGGCGACGGUUGUCCCGGUUUAAGCGUGUAGGUGUGUGUUCCAGGUAAAUCCGGUUCACUUUAACACUGAGGCGUGACGACGAGGCACUACGGUGCUGAAGCAACAAAUGCCCUGCUUCCAGGAAAAGCCUCUAAGCAUCAGGUAACAUCAAAUCGUACCCCAAACCGACACAGGUGGUCAGGUAGAGAAUACCAAGGCGCUUGAGAGAACUCGGGUGAAGGAACUAGGCAAAAUGGUGCCGUAACUUCGGGAGAAGGCACGCUGACACGUAGGUGAAGUGAUUUACUCAUGGAGCUGAAGUCAGUCGAAGAUACCAGCUGGCUGCAACUGUUUAUUAAAAACACAGCACUGUGCAAACACGAAAGUGGACGUAUACGGUGUGACGCCUGCCCGGUGCCGGAAGGUUAAUUGAUGGGGUCAGCGCAAGCGAAGCUCCUGAUCGAAGCCCCGGUAAACGGCGGCCGUAACUAUAACGGUCCUAAGGUAGCGAAAUUCCUUGUCGGGUAAGUUCCGACCUGCACGAAUGGCGUAAUGAUGGCCAGGCUGUCUCCACCCGAGACUCAGUGAAAUUGAACUCGCUGUGAAGAUGCAGUGUACCCGCGGCAAGACGGAAAGACCCCGUGAACCUUUACUAUAGCUUGACACUGAACAUUGAGCCUUGAUGUGUAGGAUAGGUGGGAGGCUUUGAAGUGUGGACGCCAGUCUGCAUGGAGCCGACCUUGAAAUACCACCCUUUAAUGUUUGAUGUUCUAACGUGGACCCGUUACCCGGGUUGCGGACAGUGUCUGGUGGGUAGUUUGACUGGGGCGGUCUCCUCC
rnacentral:rRNA from 1 species